rnacentral:ncRNA from 1 species
GGAGUCUCUCCCAAGGGUUGGGCUGUUCGCCCAUUAAAGCGGUACGCGAGCUGGGUUUAGAACGUCGUGAGACAGUUCGGUCCCUAUCCGCUGUGCGCGUAGGAAAUUUGAGAAGGGCUGUCCCUAGUACGAGAGGACCGGGAUGGACGAACCUCUGGUGUGUCAGUUGUUCUGCCAAGAGCACCGCUGAUUAGCUACGUUCGGAAGUGAUAACCGCUGAAAGCAUCUAAGCGGGAAGCACGCUUCAAGAUGAGAUUUCCAUGGAGCUUAGCUCCGAGAGGCUCCCAGCUAGACUACUGGGUUGAUAGGCCAGACGUGGAAGUGCAGUAAUGCAUGUAGCUGACUGGUACUAAUAAGCCGACAACUUGAUACA